rnacentral:rRNA from 1 species
GCGUGCCUUUUGUAGAAUGAACCGGCGAGUUACGUUAUGAUGCGAGGUUAAGUUGAAGAGACGGAGCCGCAGGGAAACCGAGUCUGAAUAGGGCGCCUUAGUAUCAUGUCGUAGACCCGAAACCAUGUGACCUACCCAUGAGCAGGUUGAAGGUGCGGUAAGACGCACUGGAGGACCGAACCAGGGCACGUUGAAAAGUGCUUGGAUGACUUGUGGGUAGCGGAGAAAUUCCAAACGAACUUGGAGAUAGCUGGUUCUCUCCGAAAUAGCUUUAGGGCUAGCGUCGACAUUAGAGAUUCUUGGAGGUAGAGCACUGUUUGGGUGAGGGGUCCAUCCCGGAUUACCAAUCUCAGAUAAACUCCGAAUGCCAAAGAAUUAUGGUCGGCAGUCAGACUGCGAGUGCUAAGAUCCGUAGUCGAAAGGGAAACAGCCCAGACCACCAGCUAAGGUCCCAAAAUAAUUGUUAAGUGGAAAAGGAUGUGGGGUUGCACAGACAACUAGGAUGUUAGCUUAGAAGCAGCUAUUCAUUCAAAGAGUGCGUAAUAGCUCACUAGUCGAGUGACCCUGCGCCGAAAAUGUACCGGGGCUAAAACAAUUUACCGAAGCUGUGGAUACCUUUAUAGGUAUGGUAGGAGAGCGUUCUAUGUGUGAAGAAGGUAUACCGUGAGGAGUGCUGGAACGCAUAGAAGUGAGAAUGCCGGUAUGAGUAGCGAAAGACAGGUGAGAAUCCUGUCCACCGUAAGACUAAGGUUUCCAGGGGAAGGCUCGUCCGCCCUGGGUUAGUCGGGACCUAAGGAGAGACCGAAAGGUGUAUCCGAUGGACAACAGGUUGAUAUUCCUGUACUAGAGUAUGUAGUGAUGGAGGGACGCAGUAGGCUAACUAAAGCAGACGAUUGGAAGUGUCUGUCUAAGCAGUGAGGUGUGAUAUGAGUCAAAUGCUUAUAUCUAUAACAUUGAGCUGUGAUGGGGAGCGAAGUUUAGUAGCGAAGUUAGUGAUGUCACACUGCCAAGAAAAGCUUCUAGCGUUUAAACAUACUCUACCCGUACCGCAAACCGACACAGGUAGUCGAGGCGAGUAGCCUCAGGUGAGCGAGAGAACUCUCGUUAAGGAACUCGGCAAAAUGACCCCGUAACUUCGGGAGAAGGGGUGCUGGCUUUAAGUCAGCCGCAGUGAAUAGGCCCAAGCAACUGUUUAUCAAAAACACAGCUCUCUGCUAAAUCGUAAGAUGAUGUAUAGGGGGUGACGCCUGCCCGGUGCUGGAAGGUUAAGAGGAGUGCUUAGAGGUAACUCGAAGGUAUGAAUUGAAGCCCCAGUAAACGGCGGCCGUAACUAUAACGGUCCUAAGGUAGCGAAAUUCCUUGUCGGGUAAGUUCCGACCCGCACGAAAGGCGUAAUGAUUUGGGCACUGUCUCAACGAGAGACUCGGUGAAAUUUUAGUACCUGUGAAGAUGCAGGUUACCCGCGACAGGACGGAAAGACCCCAUGGAGCUUUACUG